rnacentral:rRNA from 1 species
UAGUCCUAGCCGUAAACGAUGAACACUGGGUUGAGGGGACUCUCACAUCCUCUCGGCCGUAGCGAAAGCGUUAAGUGUUCCGCCUGGGGAGUAUGGUCGCAAGGCUGAAACUCAAAGGAAUUGACGGGGGCUCACACAAGCGGUGGAGGAUGUGGUUUAAUUCGAUGAUACGCGAGGAACCUUACCUGGACUUAAAUGUACGUUGCAUAGAUUGGAGACAGUCUUUUCUUCGGACUACGUACAAGGUGCUGCAUGGUUGUCGUCAGCUCGUGCCGUGAGGUGUCGGGUUAAGUCCCAUAACGAGCGCAACCCCUAUCCUUAGUUGCCAGCGGGUGAUGCCGGGGACUCUGAGGAGACUGCCACCGUAAGGUGUGAGGAAGGUGGGGAUGACGUCAAAUCAGCACGGCCCUUAUGUCCAGGGCUACACACGUGUUACAAUGGACGGUACAAAGGGCAGCUACCUGGCGACAGGAUGCUAAUCUACUAAAGCCGUUCUCAGUUCGGAUCGAAGUCUG